UUUUUUUUUUUUUUGUGUGAAAACGAAACUACUCAUAUAUACUUUGAUUGUUCUUGAGGAACAAGAACAAUUGCAGAAUAAAUGAAAGCCAAUAUACAUUACAUUCAUAAUUCACACACUACCCAGAUUUAUUUAUAUGAGGAAGAUAAACAGAUCUCUCCCUCCAAUACCCAUAUAUAUAUACUAGACCCAGAACUCGUCGUUGUCCAUAGCUGCUGCUUUUCUCAUCUGGGGUCUACUCUCAAAACUGAAACCCAAACAGCACCCUAUCAACCAAAUCUAUUGUUGAUAUCUCCCUCACCAGUCACCACCGUCGACUCCAACCCCAAAACCAGUCUACGCGAACCCAGAUCUGCCCAUCCUCACCAACGAGCCCAGAUCUUCCCAGUCUCACCAACGAAUCUAGAUCUGCCCAAUCUCACCAACGUACCCAGAUCUUCCUUCCGUGACCUUCGUUCGUUGUAAAUCACCGACGUCGUGGACCUCUCCAUUGUAGAACUAGUGAGAACUGAGAAGAAGAUGAAGGUCGAGAAGAAGAAGAAUGUGUGGUUUUUUUUUUUUUUUUUUUUUUUUUUUUUUUUAAGAAAAAAUUCUGU